rnacentral:rRNA from 1 species
GACAGAGGGUGCAAACGUUGCUCGGAAUCACUGGGCGUAAAGGGCGUGUAGGCGGGAAUGUAAGUCGGGGCGUGAAAUCCCUAGGCUCAACCUAGGAACUGCACUCGAAACUGCGUUUCUUGAGUAUCGGAGAGGAAAGCGGAAUACCUGGUGUAGAGGUGAAAUUCGUAGAUAUCAGGUGGAACACCAGUGGCGAAGGCGGCUUCUGGACGAUAACUGACGCUGAGACGCGAAAGCGUGGGGAGCAAACAGG